GUCUUUAUGUUUUAUUUAUAAAGUCUGGCCUGCCCACUGAAAUUUAAAGGGCCGCGGUAUUUUGACCGUGCAAAGGUAGCAUAAUCAUUAGUCUUUUAAUUGGAGGCUUGUAUGAAUGGUCGGACAAGAAACAGACUGUCUUCAAUUGAAUUUAUUGAAUUUAACUUUUAAGUAAAAAGGCUUAAAUAAAUUAAAAUGACGAUAAGACCCUAUAAAACUUGAUAAUUAAAACUAUAAAAAUAAUUUAGCUAUUUAAAAUUUAUUUAGUGGAUUUUAUUUUAUUGGGGCGAUAAAAAUAAAAUAAGUAACUGUUUUUAAUAUUUUAAUGAUAGUUGUCAUUUUAAAAGUGAUCCUGUAUUAUAGAUUAUAAGAUUAAGUUACUUUAGGGAUAACAGCGUAAUUUUCUUUAAGAGUUCUUAUCUACAAGAAAGAUUGCGACCUCGAUGUUGAAUUAAAAGUUCUUUAAGGUGUAGCAGCUUUAAUAGAAGGUCUGUUCGACCUUUAAAUUUUU
rnacentral:rRNA from 1 species